rnacentral:rRNA from 1 species
AACGAACGCUGGCGGCAGGCUUAACACAUGCAAGUCGAGCGCCCCGCAAGGGGAGCGGCAGACGGGUGAGUAACGCGUGGGAAUCUACCCAUCUCUACGGAAUAACGCAUGGAAACGUGUGCUAAUACCGUAUACGUCCUUCGGGCGAACGAUUUAUCGGAGAUGGAUGAGCCCGCGUUGGAUUAGCUAGUUGGUGGGGUAAAGGCCUACCAAGGCGACGAUCCAUAGCUGGUCUGAGAGGAUGAUCAGCCACACUGGGACUGAGACACGGCCCAGACUCCUACGGGAGGCAGCAGUGGGGAAUAUUGGACAAUGGGCGCAAGCCUGAUCCAGCCAUGCCGCGUGAGUGAUGAAGGCCCUAGGGUUGUAAAGCUCUUUCACCGGUGAAGAUAAUGACGGUAACCGGAGAAGAAGCCCCGGCUAACUUCGUGCCAGCCGCCGCAGUAACAC